UACGUAGGGUGCAGGCGUUAAUCGGAAUUACUGGGCGUAAAGCGUGCGCAGGCGGUUUGCUAAGACAGGUGUGAAAUCCCCGGGCUUAACCUGGGAACUGCGCUUGUAACUGGCAAGCUAGAGUGUGGCAGAGGGGGGUGGAAUUCCACGUGUAGCAGUGAAAUGCGCAGAUAUCCGGAGGAACACCGGUGGCGAAGGCGGCUUCCUGGACCGACACUGACGCUGAGGCGCGAAAGCUAGGGGAGCAAACGGG
rnacentral:rRNA from 1 species